rnacentral:rRNA from 1 species
UACGUAGGAUGCAAGCGUUGUCCGGAUUUAUUGGGUUUAAAGGGUGCGUAGGCGGCCUAUUAAGUUAGUGGUGAAAACGUUCGGCUUAACCGGAUACCCGCCAUUGAUACUGAUAGACUUGAGUGCGACAGAGGGUGUUGGAAUGUGUGGUGUAGCGGUGAAAUGCUUAGAGAUCACGCAGAACACCAAUUGCGAAGGCAGAUGCCUAUGUCGUAACUGACGAUGAGGCACGAAAGAGUGGGGAGCAAACAGG